rnacentral:piRNA from 1 species
UGUGAAGCCGGUUCUGGCCACUAGGGUGCAU